GAGGAUAUAUACAGUAGAGAGGCUAUAACAGUAGAGAGGCUAUAUACAGUAGAGAGGCUAUAUACAGUAGAGAGGAUAUAUACAGUAGAGAGGCUAUAUACAGUAGAGAGGUUAUAUACAGUAGAGAGGCUAUACACAGUAGAGAGGCUAUAUACAGUAGAGAGGCUAUAUACAGUAGAGAGGUUAUAUACAGUAGAGAGGCUAUAUACAGUAGAGAGGCUAUAUACAGUAGAGAGGCUAUAUACAGUAGAGAGGCUACAUACAGUAGAGAGGUUAUAUACAGUAGAGAGGCUAUAUACAGUAGAGAGGCUAUAUACAGUAGAGAGGCUAUAUACAGUAGAGAGGUUAUAUACAGUAGAGAGGCUAUAUACAGUAGAGAGGCUAUAUACAGUAGAGAGGUUAUAUACAGUAGAGAGGUUAUAUACAGUAGAGGUUAUAUACAGUAGAGAGGCUAUACACAGUAGAGAGGCUAUAUACAGUAGAGAGGCUAUAUACAGUAGAGAGGUUAUAUACAGUAGAGAGGCUAUAUACAGUAGAGAGGCUAUAUACAGUAGAGAGGCUACAUACAGUAGAGAGGUUAUAUACAGUAGAGAGGCUAUAUACAGUAGAGAGGCUAUAUACAGUAGAGAGGUUAUAUACAGUAGAGAGGCUAUAUACAGUAGAGAGACUAUAUACAGUAGAGAGGUUAUAUACAGUAGAGAGGCUAUAUACAGUAGAGAGGUUAUAUACAGUAGAGAGGCUAUAUACAGUAGAGAGGCUAUAUACAGUAGAGAGGUUAUAUACAGUAGAGAGGUUAUAUACAGUAGAGGUUAUAUACAGUAGAGAGGUUAUAUACAGUAGAGAGGCUAUAUACAGUAGAGAGGUUAUAUACAGUAGAGAGGCUAUAUACAGUAGAGAGGCUAUAUACAGUAGAGAGGCUAUAUACAGUAGAGAGGUUAUAUACAGUAGAGAGGCUAUAUACAGUAGAGAGGCUAUAUACAGUAGAGAGGUUAUAUACAGUAGAGAGGCUA
rnacentral:lncRNA from 1 species